UACGUAGGGUCCGAGCGUUGUCCGGAAUUAUUGGGCGUAAAGAGCUCGUAGGCGGUCUGUCGCGUCGGCUGUGAAAACACGGGGCUCAACUCCGUGCCUGCAGUCGAUACGGGCAGACUAGAGUUCGGUAGGGGAGACUGGAAUUCCUGGUGUAGCGGUGAAAUGCGCAGAUAUCAGGAGGAACACCGGUGGCGAAGGCGGGUCUCUGGGCCGAAACUGACGCUGAGGAGCGAAAGCGUGGGAAGCGAACAGG
rnacentral:rRNA from 1 species